GACCGGGUGAGUAACACGUGACUAACCUACCUUCGAGUGGGGGAGUAACCUCGGGAAACCGAGGCUAAUACCGCAUAACAUCGAGAGAUCAAAGGAGCAAUUCGCUUGAAGAGGGGGUCGCGGCUGAUUAGCUAGUUGGCGGGGUAAUGGCCCACCAAGGCGAAGAUCGGUAGCCGGCCUGAGAGGGCGCACGGCCACACUGGAACUGAAACACGGUCCAG
rnacentral:rRNA from 1 species